rnacentral:rRNA from 1 species
UACGUAGGCAGCGAGCGUUGUUCGGAGUUACUGGGCGUAAAGGGUGUGUAGGCGGUUAUUUAAGUUUGGUGUGAAAUCUCCCGGCUCAACCGGGAGGGUGCGCCGAAUACUGAAUGACUUGGAGUGCGGGAGAGGUGGAGUGGAAUUCCUGGUGUAGCGGUGAAAUGCGCAGAUAUCAGGAGGAACACCGGUGGCGAAGGCGGGUCUCUGGGCCGAUACUGACGCUGAGGAGCGAAAGCGUGGGGAGCAAACAGG